UACUUUGACCGAGUAUAACUCUCUCAUCCGAACGAAUUUGGACAAUCUAUAAAUUGAGUCUUGUAGUGCUCAUGUAAGACUAUAAUUACCAACAACAAUCAUGGCUUAAUAACAUCAGAUCUGGGAGAUACUAGCCAUCAAAAUAGCUGUCAGAGCUGUUCUUCACAAAGAACAGUUCGAGGUGCCUACUUUGGACCUCUAUAACUUGCAAUCCAUGUAAUGUUUGUGUGAUCUAUCAAUUCCAAUGUGUAGAACUCAUGUAGGACUACAACUAUAAUACAUAAUAUACAUAUAAAAACAACAUAUCUAACUGGAAAUAUCCGGUCAAAGUUCACCACGGAAAUUGUUCAUAAAAUUCUGGGUUCGUGUUCUUGAGCAGUUUCGGUCAACGGGUUUUGACCAUGAAUAACUCUUGAUAUAUAACAGAUAUGAACUUGAUUAUUUUUGUACCUUAAAGAGCAUAUUACAUAAUACAUAUAACAACUUACAAACACCAAAAAGACUAAAUAAUCACAGAGAUAUAAGGCCUGACAUUUGCCUAAAAAUAACAGAUUUCGUUUUUUUUUAAAAGUUGGAAAAACUUUGAUUUUGAGCACUUUGAUGUUAUGGGUCAUGAAUCUAACAACCCAGAACAUUAAUACACUCCUUAUUACACAUAUUUAACAAAUCAAUUUCAACAAUUAACAUCAAAUCAAAGGAUUUCGAAAAUUAGGGUUUUUAUACCUUUAUGCCUUGAUUUUUGAUUUUUGCUCUCCAAGUUGUUUGUGAUUGGAUUAUGGAGGAUGUGGGGCUUGAUAAAG
rnacentral:lncRNA from 1 species